rnacentral:tRNA from 2 species
GGGGUCGUAGCUCAGUCGGGAGAGCGUGUCGUUCGCAAUGACAAGGUCGGGGGUUCAAUUCCCCCCGGCUCCACCA